rnacentral:rRNA from 1 species
UACGUAGGGUGCGAGCGUCAAUCGGAAUUACUGGGCGUAAAGCGUGCGCAGGCGGUUUUGUAAGACAGGCGUGAAAUCCCCGGGCUCAACCUGGGAAUGGCGCUUGUGACUGCAAAGCUGGAGUGCGGCAGAGGGGAUGGAAUUCCGCGGUGUAGCAGUGAAAUGCGUAGAUAUGCGGAGGAACACCGAUGGCGAAGGCAAUCCCCUGGGCCUGCACUGACGCUCAUGCACGAAAGCGUGGGGAGCAAACAGG